CCUACGUGUGGCUGCAGUAGGGAAUUUUCGGCAAUGUGGGGAACCCUGACCGAGCAACGCCGCGUGAAGGAAGAAGGAAUUCGUUCUGUAAACUUCUGUUAUAAAAGAAGAAAGACGGAUGGAGGAAAUGACAUCCGAGUGACGGUACUUCAUGAGAAAUCCACGGCUAACUACGUGCCAGCAGCUGCGGUACUACGUAGGUGGCAAGCUUUAUCCGAAAUUAUUGGGCGAAAAGUAGGAGCAGGCGGCAGCAAAGAUUUGUGGUGAAAGACUGAAGCUUAACUUCAGUAAGCCAUAGAAACCGGGCAGCUGGAGUGCAGGAGAGGAUCGUGGAAUUCCAUGUGUAGCGGUGAAAUGCGUAGAUAGAUGGAGGAACACCAGUGGCGAAGGCGACGAUCUGGACUGCAACUGACGCUCAGUCCCGAAAGCGUGGGGAGCAAAUAGGAUUAGAUACCCGGGUAGUC
rnacentral:rRNA from 1 species